GACGAACGCUGGCGGCGUGCUUAACACAUGCAAGUCGAACGGAAAGGCCCUUCGGGGUACUCGAGUGGCGAACGGGUGAGUAACACGUGGGUGAUCUGCCCUGCACUUUGGGAUAAGCCUGGGAAACUGGGUCUAAUACCGAAUAGGACCACGCGCUUCAUGGUGUGUGGUGGAAAGCUUCUGCGGUGUGGGAUGGGCCCGCGGCCUAUCAGCUUGUUGGUGGGGUAAUGGCCUACCAAGGCGACGACGGGUAGCCGGCCUGAGAGGGUGACCGGCCACACUGGGACUGAGAUACGGCCCAGACUCCUACGGGAGGCAGCAGUGGGGAAUAUUGCACAAUGGGCGCAAGCCUGAUGCAGCGACGCCGCGUGAGGGAUGACGGCCUUCGGGUUGUAAACCUCUUUCAAUAGGGACGAAGCGCAAGUGACGGUACCUAUAGAAGAAGCACCGGCCAACUACGUG
rnacentral:rRNA from 1 species